UACAGUCUUAAAAAAAAGGAUUGGUUUUUUAAUUUACAAGAGUUCUAAAUGUACAGAAUUCUCCUUUUAAAAAAUCGUUAUACACAAUAAAUACAGUACAAAAAAAUUUAUCUUACAGUACUAGUUCUGUCUCCGAGAUUUCAAAACGUGGCGUGGGAGGCAGGAAGGAGCGGGAAGACGGCUGGAGGAGGGAGGAGCCCGGGCCGCGCGGCUGAGAUUCCCAAGGGAGGGACUGAGCGGCCAGGAUCUCUCACUUGCACGCGCACGUGCGCGUGCACACACACACACGGAUGCGCAGGCACAACUGGGCAGGGCCCGCGGGUGCCCUCCUCGGGUUUGGUUUACAGCCUGGGCCAGGAGGCUCGGGGCCUGGCAGGACCCCCAACACCCCUGGCCACGAUCCUGAUGCCACACAGACAAGACCGGUGCCUGGGCCGGGCCGUGGGAACACCCGGUUCCCCCUCCCGGGCACACACGCUCACGCGCGCCCAGCAAAGCCGGCUGCAGCCGGAAAUGGGAAGAACCAGAAGCGCCGCACCAGGGAGCCCCUCCUUUGGCGGGGGACACAUGUACAUGACAGCCCCUCCCCUGAACCCACGCGCCCCACCGGACCCUCAACAACCCCCAAGGAGAGGAGGCCUUUGUGACUCAAAUAACUUAGGCAAGAAGGACUAUGGGGUCCCCGCCGGUGUUCCCGGGCAGGGCAGGCGGCGGCCCGGUGUUAUCUGUUCAACGUCCUGCCGGGGCCCAGGCCCCCGUUGUGGCUGGAGGGCGGGAAGGCCUCGGGCCUGUGCAGAGGCGGCGGGGACUGGGGCGCGGGGUGCGGGCCGGGCCGGCCGGGCGGCUGCUGCAGGUUCAGGAUGCUGUCGAUGGCGCUCUGCAGGUGCUCCGUGAGCGCGUCGUCCUGCGGGCUGUCGCUGGAGAAGCUGGCCUGGUCCAUGUCGGGUGACUCGGACUUGCGCCGCUUGGCAGGCGGCGCGGGGGCUGCGUCCCAACCGGGGUCGGGGUCCGGGGCGCUGGGGGCCGCGGGCUCGGGCGCUGCCGCCUUGCGCAGGCGCUGGUACAACUCGUCCUCCACCGCCGCCAGCUCGCGGAUGAGCCCGCUGGUGGCCUCUUCGGCGCGCCCGCCCACAUUCUCGCGGUAAGUCUUGCGCAGCGGCAGGCGCGGGCCGUGCGUGCCGGGCCCCGGCCCCGGCCCAGGUCCCGGCCCCGGCCCCGGCCCGGACGGCUUGCGCUCUCGCUCGGGGGCGGGGGACGCGCGCUCGGCCGUGCCGUUGACCUGGCUAGCGGUGGGCGGAGGCUGGUGCACUGGGUCGAGCGCCGUGUUGUGCACCACCUUGCUGAGCCCCGCCUCCUGCUUGAUCUUCAGCUUCAGGCCGAUGCGGCUGCGCGCCUCGUAUGUCUUGAUGGGCGGGCGGUUGCGUGAUGGCAUCGGGCCGUCCUCGUCGGCGUCCAGGGACGAGGCCGCGCAGGACGACAGGGACGGGGACGGCAAGGUCGCGGACGAGGUGCGGGCCCAGGUCACGGAGGGGGAGCCGCCCACCCCGCCGUGCCGGAUCACGAGCUUGGUGGGCGGAUGCGCAGGCGCAGGGACGCCAGGGGCUACGGGCGGCGCAGGGCCGUGGCUGGGUGGCCGGGGGCCCUCGGAAGAGGCCACCGCCACGGGUAGGCCGAGGGAGCGCGAGGAAGACACGUAUUCGUCUGCAAAACCGGGGACAGAGCAAACCCAAGGGGUUAGGACUGGGAGGCUCCCUGCGGCCCAGCACACCCGUCCGCAGGACCAAGUGCCCCGACCUUUGUUGCUGCUGCUGCUGCUCGUUUUGCAGCACUGAGCUGCGUCCCUGGCUCCUUUUUAAUUUUUUAGUUUUUGAGACAGGGUCUUGUUAUGCAGUCCAGGCUGACCUUGAACUCACAGGGAUCCUCCUGCCUCAGCCUCCUGAGUGCUGGGAUUACAUGUGCUUGCCUCCAAGCCCAGCUUGGGUCUGACUGUUGAUCAGCAAUACCCAAACCCUCCUGAACCCUCCUCCUUAAUCGCACUAACAGAUGGCCACACGGAGCUACUCAGAGUUAGGAAUAAUUAAAAUAACAUAAAACAGGAAGUGCAGUUCCUCAGUCCUGUAAGCCCCAUUUAAUGCUCAAGAGCAGCACGGGCCAGAGGCUCCAGCCUGGGCAGCACAGCUAAGGUACCAUCAGCACUAUAGGAGUUCUGUGGACAGCGGUGGCUCUACAGGGGUGUUCUGUGGGAAAACCAUGGCCUGACCUGCCCCCUGCGUUGGGUGCCCCUCUGGUUCACCACAGAAACUCCUGUCUCACCCACAGCUGCUUCCCAGGGGCCCCGGGGCCACAGCAGCCUCUCCAGGGCAAAGCCAGCCACCGGUCAUACACCCUAAGGGAUCAUCACUGCGCUCACAACCUCCACUCUACAGAGGAGGCGGAGAGGUCAAGUAACUCUCCAAGGUCACAAAGCCACUAAGUGGCAGAGCCAAGAUGUGACCCGGGGCUCCAGGACAUAGCAGAAGGAAGGCAAGAGUCUGAAGAGACAAGCAGGAGAUUCUCCUCCUGAAGGAAGCAAUGGGCUUAGCUGGCAGGAACAUGGGCCCGGCUAAAGGGAUAUUCUGGGUUAGACUGGACUUUUCCCUGCAGACUGGGGUGAGGCUUGCGAGACGCUGAAGGUGCGCACUUUAAGGGGCCGUUCACUUGCAGUGCUACACAAGCUCAGGAUCAGCACAAGUGGUCCCGCCACCAUACAUUGUGCAACCCAGCCGCCUGGCUCCCCAGUCCCAGCCCUGAUGCAGGGAGGGACGGCUGUGCAUGCGCAGUGAGGCGACGUAGCCUUCAAAGGUGCCAGGGAGAGGGCUCGGGCGCCGCCCAGUGGCGAGCCGUGCAGCCCACAGCCAGCGUGUAAAAGCAAUGCCCCGCCCCGCUCACCGGGCUUCUCCUUGGCCAGCUGUUUAUCCAAGGCAAGGGUGGUCUUCUCCUCCUGAAUAAACAUGCGGUCUAUCAUCACCAUCUCCGCUGAGGGGCUCACUCGCUGGGAGAAGAAAAGAUCCCCAAGUGAAAAGGCAAAGAGGUAAGAGGAGGCACAACAGGGGGGCGCCCUUUUCAAACUUUUUUUGGGGGGGAUCACUAAGUCACAUUGCUCAGGCUAGGCAUGAACUUGCGAUCCUCCUGUCUCAUCCUCCCAGAUGACAGACGUGUCACCGCGCCCAGCCCCCCACUGUCCCUGCGAUGUGACCAUCUCCCUCCCGACCUCCUUUCCGGCAGAGGGGCCGGGUGGGAUGUGGGCCCUACCCGGGACUCCUCCAGGAGCAACAACCGGUACUUAUUGAGCAUGGCAUGGGUGCGUUUCAGCAGCUGUGUGGAGACCGUCUCAAACUCCUCGUCCACUGCCAGGAAGAGAAGGAGUGCAGGGCCAGGAUGUUGGGGGGCUGCACACUGCCCAUGCACCCCGAGCCGGGCAGGCAACUGCAGCACAGGGGCUCAGUGGUUUCCACGAGCUGAUGGCCCAGCCAGGGCCUUGGGGACAUGCGGGGAGGGAGGCCUCACCUUUGUGGUAGUCGCUAGGGGAAGGGAGGGCGCCCUGGUAGACGUGGUAGGGCAGGAGGCGGUGCAGGGCGUCCUCGAAGGAGGGGAAGGCUGUCUUGUAGUCGGGGUGGAGGACGGAGCCCUGGUGUUUGUGCAAAUGCUCCAGAAAGCUGCGGGUGGGGUGGGGCGAGACCACAGGCAGGCGGGGGUGAGGCCCGGGGAAGCUGUCCCCCACCCCAGCCCCAGCCAGACACUCGAUGGGGACUGCAGUGCGGGCUAUCAUGACUCCCACUUCACCGAAGAGGAAACUGAGGCCCGGAAAGUGUCGCCCUCCACUCCCACGGCUGUCCGGGGACUCGCCCGCGCCGGCCUCCCUGUCCUGGGCCACUUCCUGUAGCACCGCCGCUUUCCCUCCUCCUGCCUGUGUCGGCUGCUGGUCUCCGAGUUUAAUCUCCAGCCCUGCCACUGGGUCCCGGCUGCCCGUCCCAGCCCUGCCCGAGGGCCUUACCUGCAGCCCGGAAGACUUCGCUGGCCCAGGUGCUGCGGUCUUGGCCACACUCAGAAUCGGCAGGUUGCUGGGAAAAGCUUUGCUCUCGGCCGGAAGCAGAGGAGCGAGGCCUGUGUGUGGCGGGCAGGACCGGCCCAGGGUCACUGGCACGGAGGUCCCACCUCGGCGGGGAGCUUCCUGCCCUACACCUGCCCGGCCUUCUCCUGCCCAUGGCCCCAAACCCGGGUGAUGCUGGGGAUCAGGGCACCCCAGCGCUCUGCCCAGCCCGCCCCUCUAGCUCCGUGUCUCCCACGGGGCGCUCCCCU
ensembl:lncRNA